rnacentral:lncRNA from 1 species
AGAGGAGCAGAGUAUAGUAGAGUCUGGUCAGGAGCACAUGGAGAGAAAGGGAAAAAGGGAAUGGGGAGAUAGUGGGGAAGGGAAGAGCAGGGGAGCAAGAGAGAAGCAAGAGAGCUAGGAAGGGGCAAGUAUCCCCUUUUACAGUGAGUCAGGUAUACCUGCCUGCUGCCAGGUAACUGUGGGGAUCAUAGUGAAUGAAGAUUCAGGGGUGCUUGAGACAGAAAGACAGCUCUGUUGAUUUGCAAUUCUCUGCAUCAGCUCUGUCCAAUCCAGGCCCACCUGAUCUCUUACUUCUAUACCAAUGAAGGAAAGUUAGUUUGUACAGUGGAAUAAAGGAAACUGAUGAUUUACUUCUUUUUACUUCUUUUACUUUUUUAUGACUUUAUUAAACAAAUAGAAUUAAAUCUGAACAUUAAAAAAAUGAAGUCUUCUACUGUUUGAAACAUUUUACACAUUGCUGAACUACAAGUAAAGUACUUAGAAGAUUUGGUAAACCUAAGAGUAUUGAAGAUAUAUUGCCAAUUUUGUUGGAAUGUUUUUGGUAUGUUACUACCCUGCGAACACUCAGUUCAUCCUUUCCUUGAGCCAGGGGUUAGUACUCUUACAGCUUCAUAGUUACCCAUAGGUGUGAGGAGAUCUCCCUGCUCCAAAGGACAAUUCCAUCCAUUCCUAUGUAGCCUCAGAACACAUGGCAUCUAUACGUGGCAGUAAACAAAGACAUCUUAAUUGGAAUAAAUAAAUACAUAAAUAAGUAAAUAAUCAUGGCACUAUUAUAGUAAAUAAGCAUAAACAUUCAACUAUUAGAAUAAAGUAUUCAGAAGAAAUUAAUAAUUGUGAAAAGCAUAGCUAGCAAAAUUUAUAUUGUUGAGGCUGGUGGGAUGGAAUAGGCACUAGUGCAACCUGUGUGACCUGAGUUCCAUCCAUAGAAUCCGUGUAAGAAGGGAAAGAGAGAAAAAAAAUGCCGCUUCUUUGUCCUUUGACCUUUACAUUUGUGCCAUGUCAUGUGUCCCCACAUGUGCUCACACAUACAGACUGUGGUGGUCUGAAGGAGAACAGCCCCCAGACGUUCAUAUAUUGGAAUACUUAGUCCUCAGUUGGUAGAACUAUAUCGAGAGGAUUAGGAGACCUUGUUGGAAGAGGUGUGCCACAAAAGAUGGGCUUUGAAGUCUCAAAAGACUGCCAUUCUUAGUGUGUUCCCAUUAUACUUCCAACUUGUGGAUCAAGAUGUAAGUUUUCAGUUGUUUCUGUCACCACAGACUCUAACCCUCUGAAACUGAGAACCAGAAAUUAAAUAUUUUCUUUUAUAUGUUGCCUGGUCAUGUUUUAUCACAGCAAUGGAAAAGUAAGUAAGACAUAUGAAAAUAAUAGAGUUUUCUAAAAUGUAUAUUAAGUAAAAUCAAUCUUUAAAUAUUAAUAUAUUUUGUGUUACAAUUAGAUAAUAUUGGAUUGUUAUAUAUUUAUAACAUAAAUAACACACAAUAAAGGAGUGGAUAAGAAAGUUAUAGAUUGUGGUUGAUAUAACAUCCUUUUACAAUUCAUCUUUUAUUCAUUACAGUUUUCAACUUCAAAAAGAGAAAAAGACAAUGAAAAUGAGUUGUAACCAUCAAUGGUUACUCUUGCUUCUCUCUGUGCCUAAUUGUAACAACCUCCUCUACCAGUGUUUAGAAGAAUAAACGAUAGAUGUUGUUUUAUACAGCACUUAACUAAAUAUUAAAUAAAUGGAUUUUUUAGAUGUAUGUGUUUUUUUCCUUUACCUUUAAAUGUUAUGGUAUGCUUAAAACUUAGUGAAACUCACAAGUUUAAGCCUUAAUAGAAAGCAUCAAUCUCAGGAAAUUUUGGAUAUUUUUUUUCAUGUAUUCACUGUGCAAACUGAAUAAUAGGCUGUCAGAAGCAGGCCUUGCCUGAUGUCAUAUAAUGAAGUGCCCGAAUUGUUAACCACCCACUGAAUUUCUUUUAGUUUAGGCUUUUCAUCAUUUAGUUGGAUUUUUUUCUAACUAAAAAGCUCUCUGUCAUCUUGCUGUAUAAAAUCUUCGCAUGUGGCCUAAAAUCAGUAAAUGCCUAACCUUUUUAUUUUUCUGCUGCAACAUUUGAAGAUUUUAUCAUAUAAAACUACUCAGUAGCUAAUAAUAACUCUGAUAUUUUAUAUUUUCAUCAGAUAAAUAAAAAUUCUCUUCAAUAAUUUGAAAACAUGACUACCCUUGUUGAGUAGCCUAUUCAGUGUCUUCUCAUAUCUGGAUGGACCUUCAUCUAAUUUCUCUCCCCCAGUCUUCUACUAUUCUUAUUUUUGCUCUAUAUUUCUUACAUUUUUAUCUCCCUUAAAUUAUUUGCACUUGUAAGAAAAUGUCUUGGAAUUAAUCUUAUUUCAAAUGUUUAGAGGUUGCAUUUUCAUAUGCAAAUAUAUGUGUAUGCACUGCUAUGGUGGUUUGAAUGAAAAUGGCCCCCAUAGGCUCAAAGAGAGUGGCACUAUUGGGAGAUGUGGCCUUGUUGGAAAGAAGUAUGUCACUGAGAGUGUGCUUUGAGGUUUUAAAUGUUCAAGUCAGACCCUUAUCCCUGCUCCCUGAAGGUCCCUCACCUCCCCAGCACCAUGUUUGCCUGUGGGUUGCCAAUCUUCCCAUCAUGAUGGUAAUGGAAUAAACUUCUGAACUCUAAGCUAGACCCAACUAAAUUAUAUAUAGUAUAGUGUGUAUAUAUAUAUAUAUAUUAUGUAUAUAUAUUUACCAUUGUCAUUCUGUCUCUUUAAAGCAAAUGAAAUCCUAGCUAAGACAACUACUAAACAUGGCUAUAGUAGCACCAUUUUCUGUUCUUUUAUUGUCUUGAUUCUUUUGCAGAGAUGGUGAUUGAAUCUCAGACCUCGUGUAUGCUAGACCCUCUCUAUCAAUUAACUGUCACUCAAGCACUUUUAUAUACAGUCAGAGCUGCAAAAUCUAUGAUG